UACAGAGGUCUCAAGCGUUGUUCGGAUUCAUUGGGCGUAAAGGGUGCGUAGGCGGCGCGGUAAGUCGGGUGUGAAAUCUCGGGGCUUAACUCCGAAACUGCAUUCGAUACUACCGUGCUUGAGGACUGGAGAGGAGACUGGAAUUUACGGUGUAGCGGUGGAAUGCGUAGAUAUCGGGAAGAAUACCGGUGGCGAAGGCGUUCUGCUGGGCCGUUGCUGGACGCUGAGGCGCGACAGCGUGGGGAGCAAACAGG
rnacentral:rRNA from 1 species